UCAGGAGAGAGAGUACCCGCCGUAUCGGCUAGAAAGGAAGUAGAAACUCAACUAGUCGCAGGUAUAACGGUUAGAAAGACACUAGAGUAUAUGAAUCUCCAGUGUACGUGUGGCAUUUUUAAAGUUCAUCUCGUCGGCAACGGUGGAGUACAACGUAACUGCGAAAUCCACGUUCAUGACCCUGUACUGAGAGAGGAAUACUCAAAAAAACACCCAUCUUACCAUGACUGCAAUGGAAAAUUCUACGAGAUCUGCGGAAAGGAAGCGACAAAUAUUCUGCAAUUUCAUGAAAAGUGUCCUAAUGUUCUCAUCGUAAAAAAACAAGGGUAAAAUGCAGCGCUUGGCACAUGAAAUAUGAUGCCGCAAGCCGUAACUGAACAUGAAGAACU